GAAUUUUAUAUGUCAGAAUGUUUUUAGUGAAAUAAUUAGUUUAGGCUGUAGUAAUGUUGGGGCAUAUUUAAUUGGGAGGAUUGUUAAAUUAUUUAAACUUUAAUUAUAUUAAAAUAUAUAUUAAUAGAAUUAAUUAAGAAGGUGUUUUAGGUUGAUAAAGAAUUAAUUACCUUAGGGAUAACAGCGUAAUAGUUUCGGAAAGAUCGUAUUGAUGAAAUUGGUUGC
rnacentral:rRNA from 1 species